rnacentral:rRNA from 1 species
CCAGGCUUGAACUGCAGAGGACACUCUACGAAAGUAGACUUCCGCAAGGACCUCUGUAGAGGUGCUGCAUGGCUGUCGUCAGCUCGUGUCGUGAGAUGUUGGGUUAAGUCCCGCAACGAGCGCAACCCUUGUCUUCUGUUGCCAUCAGGUUAAGCUGGGCACUCUGAAGAGACUGCCGGUGACAAACCGGAGGAAGGUGGGGAUGACGUCAAGUCAGCAUGGCCUUUAUGUCUGGGGCCACACACGUGCUACAAUGGCAGGUACAAACCGUCGCGAGACCGCAAGGUGGAGCUAAUCGGAUAAAGCCUGUCUCAGUUCGGAUUGUCGGCUGCAACUCGCCGGCAUGAAGUUGGAAUCGCUAGUAAUCGCGGAUCAGCACGCCGCGGUGAAUACGUUCCCGGGCCUUGUACACACCGCCCGUCACAUCACGAAAGCUGGCUGUACUAGAAGUAGCAGCGCUAACCCGCAAGGGAGGCAUGUUCCUAAGGUAUGGUCAGUGAUUGGGGUG